rnacentral:rRNA from 1 species
CCUACGGGUGGCAGCAGUGAGGAAUAUUGGUCAAUGGGCGCGAGCCUGAACCAGCCAAGUCGCGUGAGGGAAGACGGUCCUAUGGAUUGUAAACCUCUUUUGUCGGGGAGCAAAAGUCUCCACGCGUGGCUUUUUGAGUGUACCCUAAGAAAAAGCAUCGGCUAACUCCGUGCCAUCAGCCGCGGUAAUACGGAGGAUGCGAGCCUUAUCCGGAUUUAUUUGGUUUAAAGGGUGCGUAGGGUGAUGAUAAAGUCAGGGGUAAAAUUGAGUGGCUAAACCUAUUAGUGCCGUUGAAACUGGUUGUCUUGAGUGAGUGAGAGGUAGGCGGAAUGCGUGGUGGAGCGGUGAAAUGCAUAGAUAUCACGCAGAACUCCGAGUGCGAAGGCAGCAUACUGGCGCACAACUGACGCUGAAGCACGAAAGUGUGGGUAUCGAACAGGAUUAGAUACCCUUGUAGUC